rnacentral:rRNA from 1 species
GUGCCAGCCGCCGCGGUAAUACGUAGGUGGCAAGCGUUGUCCGGAAUUAUUGGGCGUAAAGCGCGCGCAGGUGGUUUCUUAAGUCUGAUGUGAAAGCCCACGGCUCAACCGUGGAGGGUCAUUGGAAACUGGGAGACUUGAGUGCAGAAGAGGAAAGUGGAAUUCCAAGUGUAGCGGUGAAAUGCGUAGAGAUUUGGAGGAACACCAGUGGCGAAGGCGACUUUCUGGUCUGUAACUGACACUGAGGCGCGAAAGCGUGGGGAGCAAACAGGAUUAGAUACCCUGGUAGUCCACGCCGUAAACGAUGAGUGCUAAGUGUUAGGGGGUUUCCGCCCCUUAGUGCUGCAGCUAACGCAUUAAGCACUCCGCCUGGGGAGUACGGUCGCAAGACUGAA